GUGAAGCGGCAAUAGCUCAAAUUUGAAAUCUGGCUCCUUUUAGGUGUCCGAGUUGUAAUUUGCAGAGGGUGCUUUGGCGUUGGUAGCGGUCUAAGUUCCUUGGAACAGGACAUCGCAGAGGGUGAGAAUCCCGUUUGUGGUCGCAUGCCUUCGCCGUGUAAAGCCCCUUCGACGAGUCGAGUUGUUUGGGAAUGCAGCUCUAAAUGGGAGGUAAAUUUCUUCUAAAGCUAAAUACCGGCCAGAGACCGAUAGCGCACAAGUAGAGUGAUCGAAAGAUGAAAAGCACUUUGGAAAGAGAGUCAAACAGCACGUGAAAUUGUUGAAAGGGAAGCGCUUGCAGUCAGACUUGCCCGUAGUUGCUCACUUAGGCUUUUGCCUGAGGCAUUCUUCUGCGGGCAGGCCAGCAUCAGUUUGGGCGGUCGGAUAAAGGUCUCUGUCAUGUAGCUUCCUUCGGGAAGAACUUAUAGGGGAGGCGAAAUGCGACCAGCCUGGACUGAGGUCCGCGCUUCUGCUAGGAUGCUGGCGUAAUGGCUGUAAGCGGCCCGUCUUGAAACACGGACCAAGGAGUCUAACAUCUAUGCGAGUGUUUGGGUGUCAAGCCCGAGCGCGUAAUGAAAGUGAACGGAGGUGGGAACCCUUUGGGUGCACCAUCGACCGAUCCUGAUGUCUUCGGAUGGAUUUGAGUAAGAGCAUAGCUGUUGGGACCCGAAAGAUGGUGAACUAUGCUUGAAUAGGGUGAAGCCAGAGGAAACUCUGGUGGAGGCUCGCAGCGGUUCUGACGUGCAAAUCGAUCGUCAAAUUUGGCAUAGGGCGAAAGACUAAUCGA
rnacentral:rRNA from 1 species